UACGUAGGGAGCAAGCGUUGUCCGGAAUCAUUGGGCGUAAAGCGCGCGUAGGUGGCCCUGUAAGUCCGUUGUGAAAGUCAAAGGCUCAACCUUUGAAAGCCGAUGGAUACUGCAGGGCUAGAGUGCAGAAGGGGCAACUGGAAUUCUCGGUGUAGCGGUGAAAUGCGUAGAUAUCGAGAGGAACACCUGCGGCGAAGGCGGGUUGCUGGGCUGACACUGACGCUGAGGCGCGAAAGCCAGGGGAGCGAACGGG
rnacentral:rRNA from 1 species